AUUUAUAUAGUUUAACUUAAAACACUUCAUUUUCAAUGAAGAAAUGAACUAAAGUUCUAUAAAUA
rnacentral:tRNA from 1 species